rnacentral:rRNA from 2 species
AAUCCAUAGGUUAAUGAGGCGAACCGGGGGAACUGAAACAUCUAAGUACCCCGAGGAAAAGAAAUCAACCGAGAUUCCCCCAGUAGCGGCGAGCGAACGGGGAGGAGCCCAGAGCCUGAAUCAGCAUGUGUGUUAGUGGAAGCGUCUGGAAAGGCGCGCGAUACAGGGUGACAGCCCCGUACACAAAAGCGCAUGUGCUGUGAGCUCGAUGAGUAGGGCGGGACACGUGGUAUCCUGUCUGAAUAUGGGGGGACCAUCCUCCAAGGCUAAAUACUCCUGACUGACCGAUAGUGAACCAGUACCGUGAGGGAAAGGCGAAAAGAACCCCGGC